rnacentral:rRNA from 1 species
CUAGCUGUAAACGAUGUGAACUUGGCGCUGGUUGGGUAAAACCAAUCAGUGCCGGAGCAAACGCGAUAAGUUCACCACCUGAGGACUACGGCCGCAAGGUUAAAACUCAAAGGAAUUGACGGGGGCCCGCACAAGCAGCGGAGCGUGUGGUUUAAUUCGAUGCUACACGAAGAACCUUACCAGGGCUUGACAUGGUUGUGGUAGCGAAGCGAAAGCGGAGCGACCCUUCGGGGAGCAAUCACAGGUGC